GUGUUGGCUCGCGGCCCCUGGGCUGCCCUGUCCGAGUGGUUAGCUGUGUUCAGGGUUCCACUGGAGGCCAAGGUAGUACCGCCGGCCUCCGACCUGGAUGUGGAGGGCAA
rnacentral:SRP_RNA from 1 species